rnacentral:ncRNA from 1 species
AUCUUCAGGGCAGGGUGUAAUUCCCUACCGGUGGUACAGCCCACGAGCCGCAAGGUAUGAUUCGGUGAAAUUCCGAAGCCGACAGUAAAGUCUGGAUGAAAGAAGAUU